GACGAACGCUGGCGGCGUGCUUAACACAUGCAAGUCGAACGGAAAGGCCCUGCUUUUGUGGGGUGCUCGAGUGGCGAACGGGUGAGUAACACGUGAGUAACCUGCCCUUGACUUUGGGAUAACUUCAGGAAACUGGGGCUAAUACCGGAUAGGAGCUCCUGCUGCAUGGUGGGGGUUGGAAAGUUUCGGCGGUAGGGGAUGGACUCGCGGCUUAUCAGUUUGUUGGUGGGGUAGUGGCUUACCAAGGCUUUGACGGGUAGCCGGCCUGAGAGGGUGACCGGCCACAUUGGGACUGAGAUACGGCCCAGCCUCCUACGCGAGGCAGCAGUGGGGAAUCGUGACCAAUGGGCGGAAGCCUGAUGCAGCAACGCCGCGUGCGGGAUGACGGCCUUCGGGUUGUAAACCGCUUUCGCCUGUGACGAAGCGUGAGUGACGGUAAUGGGUAAAGAAGCACCGGCUAACUACGUG
rnacentral:rRNA from 1 species